UAGGGGGCAAGCGUUAUCCGGAUUCAUUGGGCGUAAAGCGCGCGCAGGCGGGUUGCUAAGCGGGACCUCUAAUCUUGGGGCUCAACCUCAAGCCGGGUCCCGAACUGGCAGCCUCGAGUGCGGUAGGGGUAAGCGGAAUUCCCGGUGUAGCGGUGGAAUGCGCAGAUAUCGGGAAGAACACCGAUGGCGAAGGCAGCUUACUGGGCCGUCACUGACGCUGAGGCGCGAAAGCUAGGGGAGCGAA
rnacentral:rRNA from 1 species